GAGAAAUUCAUCACUAGUAUGUGUUCCCAUAAUGGCUGAUUCGGCUGAUUUGAUGAUUGCUGAUGCAUGUAAGGCAAAAACUAGUGGUGCUGAUCUUGUGGAGAUUCGAUUGGAUAGUUUGAAGAUUUUCAACCUGCAAACAGAUCUCAAGACUCUUAUAAAAGAGUGCCCAUUGCCUACUCUAUUUACUUACAGACCUAAGUGGGAAGGUGGCCAAUAUGAUGGUGAUGAAAAUGAACGGCUUGAGGUACUUCGAUUAGCCAUGGAGUUGGGAGCUGAUUAUGUUGAUGUGGAACUUCAGGUUGCUCGUGAAUUCAUUGAUUCCAUUCGUGGCAAGAAGCCAGAAAAGUUCAAAGUAAUUGUUUCAUCUCACAAUUAUCAAGAAACUCCAUCUCUAGAUGAACUUGGUAAGCUUGUCGCAAGAAUUCAAGAAAGUGGA
rnacentral:misc_RNA from 1 species